CGCGAAGGUGAGACUACGAUCUACAACUUUCGUUUAGAUUCCGUCGGCAAAUUAUGAAAUUAUUUUUAUUAUUUAUUUAUUAAAAUGACGUGAUUAAGGAAUUUCUUUAAAAAUUCAUAACUUCUUUAUCUGACGUCGGUUUUUGCCAGACUUUUUACCGCUGAAAUACCAUUGUCGAGACCUUCGAUUCUCGUUUAGGUCAUUCCGGCCAAAAGUCGCUCGAUCUCCGAUUCGAGUUUUUACGUAACUUCGUAUUGCCGGUUUUUGUCAGAAAACUUAGAAUGGUCAUAACUUCUUCGUAAUAACUUGGACUUUAGUGUUCUUUAUAUGCUUGGAAACCUUAAGACGAUAUCUAUUACAUAGCAUACUCCAAACAGAGCCUUUGAAUACUUCAUUUUUCGAUGAUAUUCUAAUUACUUUUUCAAAGAGGCUACAAGACUCGAAUUUCAAGGACCUGAAAAGACGGGUUGUUACAUCAUCCCCCCGUUAGAGGGAAUUUCGUCCCGAAAUUAGAGUUCAUGCUACGGAUAGAAGUUUUAUUUGCCCCGUGAAAGUGGGUUAGAUCUGAUCCCACAUCGGUUGGGAUGGAGAACUAAGCAUUCCUUAUAAGGGGUGUGGAUACCUUCCCUAUCACAACGCGUUUUAAAGCCGUGAGGGCAGCAGAUCCCAUAAGAACUCUGCAGUUAAGCGUGCUCGGGCGGGAGUAGUACCAGGAUGGGUGACUCCCUGGGAAAUCCUCGUGCCGAGUGGCCCAAAGCAGACAAUAUUUUGAUACGUGCCAGAGGGGGAUGUUGCAAAUGGUAUCAGAGUCAGGGCACGGGUCGAUGUGUUCGACGGGGACGUCAAACCCUAUAAUGGGGGGUGAAAGUGGGUUAGAUCUGAUCCCACAUCGGCUGGGGUGGAGAACUAAGCAUUCCUUAUAAGGGGUGUGGAUAGCUUCCCUAUCACAACGUGUUUUAAAGUCGUGAGGGCAGCAGAUCCCAUAAGAACUCUGCAGUUAGGCGUGCUCGGGCGGGAGUAGUACCAGGAUGGGUGACCCCUGGGAAAUCCUCGUGCCGAGUGGCCCAAAGCGGACAAUAUUGUGAUACAUGCCAGAGGGGGAUGUUACAAUCUAUCCCUAACAGAUUUUAAAUUCCAAGAAUGUAUCCUUUCCUUCCUAAGUCUUUCAUUUUAGAAACACUUUCCGAGUCAAGGUGAAAACGACCUUGCUUAGUCCGAAUGUGAGUUCAAAUGAUUAAGUAUGUCUCGCUCAUACAAGAUUAGGAGUUUUACUAUGCUCCCACUAGUUCUUAGUAAACACAUAUGUUUUAUUCAUUUUGAUAUAAAAACAUACCUUGUGGUUUUACAUAAAAUGAUGAUUUCAAUAUUGAGAUGUUUGCUUUAUAUCCACAAGUGGAUCUCAAAUUCCACAUAUUUUGUUAGGAUAACAUGGAUUAAGAAAACCACCAAGCUAAUCUAUAUAUCUUCCAUUAGAUGUCUAUUAAGAAAAAUGGUCUUUCUUGAAAACUAUUUACUAUAUCUCAUAUUAAGAAUAUGAAUUUAUAGCAAAUAAUAUCCUUCUUGAUCUAAUCAUGGCUACCUGUGAAAAAAGUUUGAUCACAGUCAAUGUCAUGAGUAUGAUGAGGACCAUAGUCAAUGACAUGAGUAUGAGAAAAUCCUUUUACAAAAAGUCUUGCUUUAAAUGUGUGUGGUUAUCCAUGUAAUUUAUUCUUUCUAGAAGAAUCAUUUUCUCCUUCUAGACUUGCGAUAAGGAUACAUUUUAAUCAAGCCCAUACUUGAUUCUUAUACAUGGAUUACAUCUCAUGCUCAUGACUCUAAGUCAUUUAUCAGAUUCGAGAUCUGACAUAGCAUCUUGGUAUUUGAUGGAUUUUCCAGGAACCAUCAAUAAAAUAUCAUCAAUGAGAGAUUCCACAUUUCUCCAGCCAUAGAUGAAUUCUACCAUUAAUGCGAACAAUUUGUGUUUAUGAAUAGCUAUUAUUUAAUUUUAACAAUCCUUGUUAAAACUAGAGCCAACUAUUACUACAUAAGGUUAUGGCUCUUAAGCUACUUCAAGUUCCAUGUACCUCCCACUCACUUUGUCAUUAGUAGCUUGCUUUCUACUAACUUAGCUUUCACAAGAAUAAGAGGACUUGUUCUUGCCGGGUUUGCAUAUAAUAAUUUAAACCACAUUUAGAGUAUUAUACAAAUAUGCGUCUAGCAGAUUUUGGGUUUAGAAGCUUUAGUCCAACAUUGGCUUCAAAUCCACAAAACAUUAAGUAAGUUGAGGAUGGAUCCUUUACAUACUAAAUCUUAGAGGAGGAUAUUUCUACCGAUUAGAAAGUAAAUCAUACCAAGUAAGAUUUAAUUCAUCCUUUAUUAUCAUUAAGACCUUGGAUGGUUCUUACUAGUUUGCAUCUUAACUUUUGAAACCUUCAACAAAGAUUUCCCAAUUAUGCUUUACCAUGUAAAUAUAAUCAUAACUACUAUAGUUGUUAAUAAAGUUGAUUUGGUAUCUUGUGCUUAAUCUCAGACAUUCAUUAGAAAGGAAGUCAUGUACCAAAGUGUAUACUUCCUUAAUUAUUUUCUCUAUACCUUAGUGAAAAUAUCAUUAGGAAUCCUUUACAUAUAAAUAAGGUUCACAUAUGUCCAACAAACUACAUUAUUUGCCUUCAACGAUCAUUUUCUUGAAGUUGAAAUAUGUGAAUGCCAUUUAUAUAAUAAUGAUAACAAUGUCCAAGAUAAGUUUGAUUUAAGACAAGUUAAAGUCAUUAGUGCUUGUAUAUAGAAAUUGAUUUUAUUUAUAGAAUUUUGAUAUUUACUUCAUAAUUCUAUUAAAAGAUCUAGUCUCAUAAAUAGAAGUUAAUCAUUUCAAAAUAUGAAUAUUAUCGUUAUGACAGUCGAUUAAGUAAAUGAUCAAACAUUUGAAUAAAAGAAUUGAGACAUAAAUUUAGACAUGCUAAAUUAAAACAUAUUUUGUUCCAAAACAAAUACUGUUUUACAUCACAUGUAAUUUAUGUUCUAAGCAUAAAUAAUAAACUAAACUUUGAGUGUGUAGUUCCAACUUGAUUAUGCUCAGCUUGGUUACUCUUGAACAAAUAUUUGCAAGCCAUUUACAAAUAUUAGAUUAACAUUAAAGUACCAAGUACCUAAGUGUUAUAUGAAAAGUAUGAGUUCUAUCUAGUAUAUACAAGAAGUACUAAUCUCUUCCAGACUUUCUUUCCUAAUAAGAGGAGUAAAUCCUCUUCCAGUGUCAAGUUUCUUCUUAAAAGAAAAAAGAUCUAUCUAUGUGGGCUUUAUUAGAUUUUUUGGGCUUAAAGGUGUUCAGUCCAUAAAACAUGGUCCUCCUGGAUCACACUGAUGGGUUUGAGCCAAAAGAACAUCCUAUCUGCUCAUGCAAACCUUAAUGCUUGGAUCUAGGUUUCUCUAUUGUACCUGCAAUUCAUCCAAGACUUUCAAACCCUAGAUCUAGUGUAUAUAAUUUGAAAUUAAUAUAACAAAAUAGAUCUAGAUAAUUACCUCUUGUUGUUUACUUGAAUCUUCUAGUCUUUGACGCUUAGAGUCACAAGUGUCACUUCUCUAAUGGCUUACAAACACCAAUAGCAAGUGGAUGAUCUUGGAGAGAGGUUGGAAGAGGCAAAAUUUCGGCUAUGAUCUUUCUAGGGUUUCAAGUGGCCGAAAAUUGUAAGCCUUAGGGUCCUAUUUAUACUAGAGCUGCUAGGGUUUUAGUCUAAACCCUAAUGGAUGGCUUAGGCCUUAAGCAUUCCAAUGAAGCUUCUGGAAUAGGGCCUUAUAGCCAAAAUUAUGGAUGGACACAUCCUAAUUUCGUCCAUGCCUAGUCCAAGAGACUCCUCAGCCCAAUACUCAACUGUCACACAUUUGACAGUUUAUGUCCCUGAUAUAUUAUUAAUGUCUUUUAGCCACAUAAUUAAUUUCUUAAUUAAUUAUUGUCUAAUAUUAAUUUAAUUAUAUGAUUUCUCCAUUAAUAUAUUAUUUAUAUAACAUAUUAAUAAAUCAUAAUAACCUCUUUCUUAAUAAAUCAUCCUGUUAUGUUGCUUUGGUAAAGGCAACCCAAAAGGACCAUGCACAACCGGGUCAAGUACUUACCAAAUAUAGUUACGGGCUUAGACACUAAUCCAACAGUCUCCCACUUGGAUAAGUCUAGUAACUACAAAUGCAAAUACAAUCCGAUUAGCAAUCGUACCUCUCAAAGAUGCUGUCAAACUCUGAUCUUAUCAGUAACCUGUCCUUUAGAUAAGGGAUCGUAUAGUGCUCCAUUCUAGAUAUUGUGUGGACAAUUACAUGGAGCAUAGUCAUACUUAUUGUCCAGCAGUUUGUUUCUCGAUCUCUGAUUCAUUUGACACAUAACUUAAUUGAACACAUCAAUUCGUUUGACAUAUAACUUGUUACAUCAUAUGUCCAAUUUUGAAAAACCCAAACUCCAUGUGAUGUUUAUUUUGUUCAAAAUUAUUUUAGCAUGUAGAAAACUAAUUUUAUCAACCACACAAAUAAUGCAUAAAAUAAACAACACAAACAUACAUAAAAAGAUAUGUGCAUAAACAUAGCCAUCUAAUGACAUUUUUGUGAGCCAACACAAAAACGCUAAGUCCAUUCCUAAAGGGACCAAAAAAAACUUCUUGUAAUGUUGUUGUAGAAUAUCCCUCAUGAGUAAACACUCAUUUGUUGCAAAAGAUAGGAAAAACUUUUUGAAGGCUAAAAUUCAACAACUGUCGCUAAAAGUCCAACAACCUUUUGGACACAGCAUUAGCGACGCUUUUCAGAAAAUGUCACUGAAAAUCUUGCAUACCUUUUAGACUUGAAAAUUGCUCUUUUUUCUUCAAAAAAUGGUUCCAAGUUGAUUUCUUGUUACAUUUUUGUACAAAUAAAUUAAUUCUAAAAACCAAUAUAUUACUUUACAAAAAUAACCAAGAAAAGCUAAUCUAUUUAAUUAUUACAUACCAUAUGAAUAAAUAAAUUAUUACAACCAUUUUAUAACCAAAAUAACCAACACAACAACAUAACGACACAUUGGUCAUUGCUAGUUUAUGCACGUCAUAUACAUCAAUAUACACAUCAAACAACCUUUGUUUCUCUAAGACAACUUUAAAUGACAAAAGAUGCAUGAAACUUUUGUCACAUAAAAUAAAAAAGUUGUCAUAGAAAAUAUGUAUGAACUUAUUUUUAUACAAAAACAAGUUAAUCAUAUUCUCCAAAAACUAAGAUUUCCAAAAAUAAAAAAUCUAACCAAACUUGCAAUGUGGCUCUUAUACCAAUUGUUGGGUUUUAGUUCAAAAAAGUAGUUUGAUAAACUAGAAAAAUAUGGCAACGGAAGACUUUAAUUUUUGAAAUAACAUAAACAUUUUAUACCCACCAAGGAUCUUCUUGCAAGUUAUAGAAAAAUUAAAAUACCAGCCAAAGAAUAGGUGAGAAAAUAACAACCUUUGUAAUUCUUUGGGUCCUCUUGGGAGGCUUGGAGGUUGAUGAAGAAUGUUGAACCUUUGAGACACCAACAAUGACUCAACUUGAUGUAGAAUGCUAGUUCUUUGUAUAAAACUCUUAAGGUUUGAACCAAACCCAAGUAUGGUUCAAAGAGAGCAAAAUGCAAGCAUCGAAUCUUCAAGUGUUCAAAGCAAGAGAAGAGAGAAGGAGAGGGAAGAUACUCUCGGCCAUGGCUUGAAAAGGAACACCCCAAGAGUGCAACACUUUAGCUAUUUAAAGAAUACACAUGAUCCAAAGGUCUUUAACCAUGAACACCUUUAGACAACCUUCUCCCCCUUGUCAUAAGUGUGUCCAUUCAUGUAAGUUUGUCUCCCAUGCCUCUUAUUACUUUAAGUCAAAACAUCAUUCUAUGUCCCUUAAAGUACAAUCUUCGAAAUUUGUACACAAAAAGAGAAAAAGAUUGUAUAUUUUAUAAAACCCAAGUUUAUAAAAUAUAAACCUUAACAUUUAGGUAAAAGAAAAAAAGCCUUAUAGUCAAAAAUGUUGUACAUGACUUAUUAAAUUGGAAAUUAUUUAUUUCUCGGAAAUAAUAAUUUUCAUUAGCAAGUAAUAUUACAUAAUUCAUAUGGUAAAUAAUCAAUUGUAUCAAGUUGAAUAUUUAUUAAAAUCAAUUUCUAGUAAAUAAUCAAUUUCUAGUAAAUAAUCAAUUGUAUCAAGUUUUUGUUAGUGUGCCCCAUUAGUAUCAUAUGCUAUUUAGCAAUAUCACUUUAAUAUGACUCUUGAACAUACUAGACCUUUAACUUAAAACAUCACUUAGAGACUUCGAUUGUGUACGACCCAACACAGUCUGCCCUAGUCUCUCUUGAUUAACCCUCGGAUGUGGUCAAACUAGUUUCGACUGGUGGCAAAAAUAAAAAGGCAAACCAAUGAAAAAACAUCUCCUUCCAAAGUUCUUGCCAAAAAGAGAUCCAAAGUCAAUGGUUCCUCUCAGAAGGAAUCACAUACUGACAUUUCGACUGACUUUGGUCAUCCAAUUACCCCACCUGGCCACUCUUCCGAAGUACCCUUUGUAGUUUCAAUACCACUUGCAAACAGUCACAGGGAGUCUCCACGUGAUCCAUCGUCAUCUUCCUAAAAAGAUGAUGUCGGUGUUGAACAAAGUUCCUUGCACCCUUUGGAACAGACCCACGUGUCGUCUCAGAAAUCCCAUUUUCUUCAACAUAAGCACGAUAUGGGGCCCUUGCCUUGGAUCCUAAGCUCUCGGAAGUUGGGGUUGUCCCUCCGACUUUUAGAGCUCUAACUGGUGUGAUACCCGGUUCAAGUAAAGGACGACCAAGUUCUACUGAUAAGAUUGGAUUGAUUUUGUUAACGGGGCUCACACUAUACAUCCUAAUCUUACUAGUGCUCAAGUUGAAUCAACUCUCAUUUCCAUGAAAAAACGUGAAAUUCAGAGCAACAUGUCGUUCGUUGCUCCCGUAGACUAUGAAACAUAUCAAGAAUUUGCAACAGGAGAAGCUCAUCAAACUACAAUCAUCUCGAAUGAUCCUCCAAAGUCUCCUCAUCAUGAUGCCUUCCAACCGCCCUUUGACGAAGAAAACUCAACAGAGUUUAUGUUUGAUGAUGAUAGCGCUUCCAUUGGUGCGCCACCACUCUUCUCCUCAUUCAAGAGACUGCAAAAUCCUUAUUCAUCAAGGCCUAUUUACGAUUUUCUACUGAUGUCAUCUUCCUUGAAACAUGUUGAUGCAGCAAUACGAAUAUAUGACCAAGUCCAAGCAACUCUUGGUAGUGAAACAGAAAUAAAUCCUCCCUAAGGUAAUCAAACAGAAAAUAAUCCCACUCCUUACGAACCUUAAGUCAACAAAAGUGUUGAUAAUGACAAGUCUGAGAGUUCCACCUCGGAAACUAGAUCAUCAAAUGAAAACAUAUCUGGUCCAUUUGCCCUACUAGAACUCCGAGACAAACAUAGAAACAACUCUCUACAAGGUCGACUCACUCGAAAAAUGUGUGACACAGUUAGACUCCAUUCUUGAUGAAAAGGUCUCCGGCCUCGACGCAAAGCUCAACGUAAUUCUCAUGUCUCUCUACGAGAUUAAGCAAACUGGGCCCUUGGAAGCUGAAAGGGCAGAUCAAGUUGAUCGGCUCAUCUCCCUGCAUUUCAAGCACACCUUGGAAGAAGUUGAGAAAAAAUACAACACUAGUCUGCAUCACUACAUCGAUACCAUCUCUACCAUGCUCAAAAUUCAUGCAGACAUGAUUAGUGCCACUAACGUUGCUGAUCAAGCAAACGCAUGUCCUUCAUUGAAGUAGAUCUAGAGGUUAGAGAAAGAAAUCAGGAAGAAGGAUGAACUCCAUUUCAUCAUGCAACCGGUCCUCAUCAAGUUACUCCAAGCUUGUUGGAACAUCGUUGACGUUCCGAAUAACAAGUUUGACGAAACGAUUUCCAUCUUGGGUACAUUAUUUGAUCAUUUGAAAGUUGAGGCUCCCACUGCUGAAGCCUAUGAUCCUCUGUCAAAUAAAAUCAACACAAGAUUCCAGAAAGUAUUCGAAAGGUUGUCUGAAGUCCAAUCUACAGCUCGACUUGCCUCGGAUGUAGGGCCUUCCGAAGCAAGAGGGGGAGAAGGACCUAGUCGAGAGGGUCGAACCUUUUAAUGGAAACCUGCCUCGGAGUUUAGUCUUCGAGAUGAAUUUGAUGAUGAUAUACAUGUUAUAUCCAUGUGUCACACCCCAAAACCAAGAACGGCGGAAACGUUCUGGGCGGAGGACGUCAUGUAUAAUAUCACAACAAUGUAAAGUAGUAAACAAGCAACAACAUCAUCCAUUGCAUUAAUAAUAUAAUUAUUAUACAAAUGUGUUCUGUCAAAUUUUGAUAAACACUAAAGCAUAAAUCAAAAUGAAAGAUGAGUCUUGAACAAGCUCCAUCUUCCUUUCUCCUUGCAUCGGUACCUGUCUAUGACCUGAGGAUACAAGUAAUUUUGAAAGCGAGUAUCAACUUUAAAGCUGGUGAGAUCAUAAGUAUUUAGUGUCUUAAUUUGUAUGUAUGAAUUUGUAAGUAAAUGAAUUGAAAGUAUCGAAAAAGUAUAUGAACUGUAAGUAUGAAAAUGUUUGUAAAACAACUGUAAACGUUUGAAAAACUCUAGAAAUCCCUAUGAUUCCUACUAUUAUAUAAGGGUGUCUUCUACCAAGACCUAACUAUUCUCAAUGUUCGUGUCAUGUAAAAGUGUGUAAUUUUCCCAAGUGUAACUAUUAUUAACAAAAUAUAGUUUUUACAUUUAUAGUUUAAGUGAAAAGAUCACUAAAUAUAUGUAUAGGGAAAAUUAAUGUAGUACUAAAACGUAGCGCUAUAAGAACUACUGCUGUACUAACUACCUUAAACCGGAUUUAUAUUAAGGUAUCAUGUGAUAAAUUGCACCAUACUAUAGACUGGUAACAACGACAACGUAUAGUCGAAAAUAAGGUAUGACGUUUAGCACCCGCAGACCUGCCAGUCCGGCUGUAGCUAGUAGCAAGGUGUAGGAUAGUCAAUCCAGUAUAGAUCUAUAUGCAAAAUCACGCUCUCCCUUCAAGAGACUCUGGCUACAAUUCGGGUCAUGACAAUUAAUGCAUGCUCCCAUACAGUGGAUCACAAUUUUAUUAGCGUAUUAAUGUAAGUGUAAUGUAACGAAUUGUUCUAGCUGUAAUGUACGUGCUCUCUACCUAGCAAGUAUAGUAAUGUAAUCAUUCUGGUAUAGUUGUAUAUGUUCUCUUUCUAGUAUCUUUUAUAUGUUCUUCUAGUAGUAAGUAUUGACUCAUGAAUGAACUGACUCAUAGUAUGCUAUCGCGUUCUAGUAAUAGUUCUAGUAUCUUCCUAAACUACCCAUAUGGUAGUUUACUAGUAAUCUAACUGGUACGUAUGGACAUGGAUGUAUACCCUUGCUACCCAAGGGCAUGGGAUGAACUGGAAGGACCUUUUAUGACUAUAUAUGUACACAUGAUAUAUAACUAAUAUUUAAACGACUUUCGGACGAGUACCCGAUAUCCCACCAGACCACAUCUCAAGCGCGAAAAGGAAAUAGGGUGGAUAGCCUUCCUAAGUCUUUUAAACAUUUCUUAUAUAACUAUACAUAUAGAGGCAUGCAAUUUAUAAUAUAAAAGCAUAAAUAAGUUUUGUAAAACAUUUGAACAUAAUUAUUAUCUUCAGAAAAGAUCGACUUGAUGUCAACCUAUAAAACAGUUUUGAAGGCAUAGGUUUGAUAAAACAGUUUAAGUAUAAGGAAACAUUUGUUUGAAACACAAUUGUAAAUAAGUUUGAAAUGUGAUAUACAGAGUAAAAUGUACAGUGUAAUAAGGAGUUUAAAACAUAUAAAAUGUUUAUAAAAAUCAUUUGAAGGAAACUGUUUGGUAAAACGGCUAAUGUGUAGUAAAUCAUUUGAAUGCUGCAUAUUAAUCACAUGUGAUUGAUAUAAUAACUAGCAUAAUUCUACUUAUUAAUCACAUGUGAUUGAUAUAAUAACUAGCAUGAUUCUACUUGUAUCCCCCCCCAUAAAACAUUUAAAAAUAGUUUAAAACAUUAUUUAAGGGGUAUGAACUCACCUGCAGUAAGUGACUGGAAUUGAACGGACUGUUAUCGUAAGGAAGGAUCGGACAAGUGCUUGGUGUCAAGUGAAGACUUUAGACACACACAAUGAUCCUAAUUACAUAUGAAGACAUAUGUAUAUAAAUAAUUAGUGAUUAAAACACUAAUUAUACAAGUAUGAACAUUUUAACGCGAGGAAAACACUUUUGGUCAAGUGCUAGGAGGCUAAUGGGUUGCAACAAAGGAGUGUAAUACCUCAAAUGGGAGUUUAAGGUCUAAUGAACAUAUUCUUUAGAGUUUACGGCCCAGGGGAGUAAACUCCUGGCCGUAAACUCUACAUUAGGUCAUUAAUUGAGGCUUAAAGUUGUUACAACUCAAGUGAUAAAUUGUUCCAAGGUUUAAACAAGUGUUUGAGUGUCAUAUUAACUCCUUUAAGGAGUUUACGGCCCUGGGACCAUAUUCCCUUGGAGUUUACGGCCAUAAAAUCCCUUGGGAGGGUGUUUAUAUUUUUUUCAAGUCUAUAACAUUUCAAGGUUAUGAUCUAUGUUAGGUUCUAGGCAUAAGGAAGGAGUUAGGGUGUCAUUUGACCCCUUUAUAGGGGUUUACGGCCAAAGAGCUUGUCUUGGCCGUAAACUCCUUAACACAUGUGAUUCCUUAUGUUUUCUAGGCUUUAAACACUUUAGGGUACUUGUCCUAAUUUAAGCCUAUGCCUUAGGAAGUGUUUCAAAGCAUUUUGGCACUUAAAAAUGGAGUUCACGGCCCAAGAAGCUCCUUGGCCGUGAACUCACUUUCAUCAUUGAUUCUAAUAUAUUUUGGUGUCCUAAGCAUGCAAUGAUGGGUUCUAGUUCGAGUUCUAAAGCUUUGAGGAACUUUGGGACACCUUAGGACCUUAAAAUGGAGUUUACUCCCCAAGUGUUCCUGGGCGGAAAACUCCCAAAUCUUGGUUUCUUGUUCCGAUUUUGAUGUUUUCUAGUCACAUACACACUAGCAUACAAGUCUAAGGUAGUUACAAUUCACGGGGAAAGGACUAGGUAACAUUUAACCCACUUAUCGGAGUUUACUCUCCAAGAACGUUCUUGGGCGGUAAACUGCCGAAUCUCACAGAUUUGAUAUGUAAAUGAUGUUUCUAAACACAAUCUAAGCUAUAUAACAGAACUAGAUCGAAGUACUCACAAUUUGGGAUGAAAACCCGAAGAUCCGUGUGAGAGAAUUUUGGCUUUUCUCUAAUUGGAAAUGUAACUAAUGAACUAUUUGGUUCAGUUUUCUAUAUAUAGUCCUGGGAUUUUUAGCAGAAAAUAUUUUUAUUCUCUAAAUGAACUCUAAUAUCCUAGAGUAUUGGAAUAACAGUGUUGCACAAAACCCUAGUGCAUCCACUCUCCCAAUAUCUCCUUAAGUGUAAAUCCUGAAAAACUGCCAAACUUAUACUCGAAGUCUGGAAUUUCACUGUAACUGUUCUAACUUCUAUUGGAUUGAUAUGGUUUGUUCAGAAUGGAAAUUUCGGGUUGUCACAUCAUCCCCCUGUUGAAGUGAAUUUCGUCCCAAAAUUAGAAUUUAGGCAAGGAAGUAGGUACGAAUGAUCGAGUCGUGAGGAGGAAACUUCCUAAUCAAUUGGUUCUAGCGCACCUAAGCGAAAUCGGGUUCUCGGUUGGAAUCCCAACGAACCUUCACUAACGGGCGAUGGCGUUGCUUCGUCCGCUUGACCUCUCGGUNCCUAAAGAGCUUGGUCACUCACUUGGAAUUCCAAAGGUUCCUCUUCUUGCUUAACUUCCCAGUCAAUGGCCACCCCUUGCUGGGUCAAAGUCGUACGGUUUUCCGUAAUUUGCGAGGAAUUCUGAAUGAACUAUGACAGUAGGUCGGUAAGACCUAAAAUUUGGCGAAUGACUGUCGACAUCUCCGGUGUCGACAAAUUCUCAACAGUUUUUGACAAAUUGAAAGAGUACUCAAAAUUUCCCACAUUACUAAUAGUGUGACAUAGAAAUUUAACUCUUUAAUUUUAAAACUCGUGCUUAGAGAACUUCGCGAAAGGUACCUCUAAAGGUAAUGUUUCCAGGGGGUUCCUUCUCACCACGAGGGUAAAUAAGUAAGUCAUUACAUGGAGAAAUGACGAACUGAUCCAAGUAAGAAAGACACACCCUAUUAGUUUAGCUCAUGAAAGCUAUAGGCGUAUUGGUUCUAUCCGAAGGGUAUCACUACGGACUCGAAGUGUCGGCAUCGAGUUCAGGAGAUAGUCUUCCGGACCUCUCUCCCUAACAUUCGAACUGGUGAUAUUCAGAUCUCAGAUCCAUUUCUGAAAGUAAUUCUUUCCUUGCGUUUGCUCAACCAUUUCAUCUAUGCGAGGUAGAGAUAACGAUUUCUAUGAAAAUCUUGACGGAGUCCUCGAUAUCCGAGGCACAUACGAUGCAAUCCGUCGAUCUCUGGGAGAAUAAUACUGGGGGUUCUCUAGGGUGAGAAGCCUAGUCUUCUUAUUCUAUUUCUAUGUAGUUCGCUAAGUUGUCCGGGUUGUUCUUAUGUCUCCGUAGGUGUUUAGACUAAAGGGCGAUCUGUUUACAAGAGUCGUAUCGGGUUCUAAGUUUGUUCACAUGACGAUGUGAUUACUCGUAGUCUUAAGCAGUUCUCCGUCCUGAAGUUCAUAUUAGAAUUCAUAUAUGGUUUCACAAUCACAACUUCGGGUAUAUGAAUCGUAUAUAAUUAAGAUUGAAAAGGUAGUCGAAUAACUGAUUCUUCUUUAAGCUCACAUCCCAUCGGGGAAAAAGAAGUUAAAGUGGAAUCAUCAAUUCUAAACCUGUAGAAGCUUGAUUAUAUAUCACUCUUACGUAUAUCUUCCUCAGUGAUAGAUCAAUCGCAUGAAUCCUUGGAUUAAACUUGACGUACUACACGAGUGGUACUUCGGGGAUUUCUUCGGAAAGAAAACAACUAAGAGGUACUCCUGGCAUGAGUACUUCGGUGUUCUGAUAUGACGGUUUCGCUAAGAAGGCGUUUACUGAAAAGGAGACAUACGCAUGGAGCUGUUUUCGUGUGGAUCAGAUUGAAUCGAUUCGUAUGAUAAUGUCGAAAUCAUACUGAAACUUAAAGACAUUAGAUUUGAGCAAUAAGACGUUUACAGACAAAACACAACCGUGCAACCAUUAACAGAGUUACACUUUAGACUUACAACAAGACUAUUGCUGCGAAUAAGGUAUACUACAAAAGACAAGUAUAUGCAGUACAAGAAUCUCUAUACUGACAGGAUCUCGCAAAAAGUAAGACUCUAGUUGCACUAGUUCUGGAUAGUUUAUAAGUUUGUUACAACAACACUCCUAAAUUACAUUUACGAGGGGUUCCAGAGUAGGCUCUCCUGCAGCUGUGAUCCUGAGAAUUCUCCCAUCUGUGCUAGAGUUCUUUGCUAUCGGGCAAUCUUUCUUGAAGUGCCCUAUGUUUAGGCAAUUGCAACAUUGCAUCUCAUGGAAAGCCGCAUGAUGAUGGAAACUACACUUAUCACUCUUCGGGAGUUUUCCCUCGCAUGGCCUGCUCGGUACGGGAACGGCAAGGGUUUCCACUUGCUGCUGUUGUAUAGUCAGCUUUUGGGAUCUCUUGCGUUCUUUCCGGGCUUAACACUUUUGUUUCUUGUUCUCUGCUUUUCGGAUUUGCGAGCCUGUGACUGUUACUGUUUGGCGACUUCCUGGAUGGAUACCACGAUUGGAAACUUCAUUCCCAUCAGCAGCAUUGACUGUGCUAAUAGUGCUACGGUGUGCAAGGACCGCAGUUAUGGCAGCCACCACGGCAGUUGUAACUGCUGUUUGAAAGGUAGCGGUGUCCAUAGGAAAAGCUGAGGUUUCGCUGAUCGACUGAUUGCUUCCGGAUGACGACAUGAUCUUGUAACACGAAAGAUAAGGGUUUUGUGAGCGAUUCUGGUUGACCCUUGAUGUACUUUGAUUGUUCAUGUAAAGAGUACGACUAUGUUCUCGAAAGUUUGACCUACAUCCCUAUGAUGCAGUCCUAGUACAGAAUGGAAGUAUGAUCCCGAAGGUUUGACCUACAUCCCUAUGAUGCAGUCCUAGUAAUGAGUAGAAGUAAGUUCGUAGAAUGGUCUCAGGACGUUUAUCGUUCAAGCCGAGGUAUCGUGGGUUGGUGAAUAACAAGAUCCAACCACUAAAAGAGACUUGGAAAUGCUUCCGGAGCUAAAUUACUAUAGUCCAAUGACUUGACUAAAGCAUGUUUUAGAUAGACCCCAAUGAAAGUAUGAUAAGAGUACUUGAAUAAAGAAUGACACAGAAGUUAGCCGGCUGUCAAUAUCUUUGAUAUUUACGACGUAAAGAUUCGGGAAAAUGACCUUGUAAAGGUCUUACAUCAUAUCCAGAGAAGAUAGUUAUUGACAGCAUAAAUACCUAACUAAAGUACUUACGGUACGAGAUAAUUUCAUAGACAAUGCCACAUCGGGCAUAGACAGAAAAACACGAUCCCUUUUUAUANNNNNNNNNNNNNNNNNNNNNNNNNNNNNNNNNNNNNNNNNNNNNNNNNNNNNNNNNNNNNNNNNNNNNNNNNNNNNNNNNNNNNNNNNNNNNNNNNNNNUUUUACCGCUGAAAUACCAUUGUCGAGACCUUCGAUUCUCGUUUGAGUAAUUCCGGCCAAAAGUCGCUCGAUCUCCGAUUCUAGUUUUUACGUAACUUCGUAUUGCCGGUUUUUGUCGGAAAACUUAGAAUGGUCAUAACUUCUUCGUUAUAACUCGGAUUUUUGUGUUCUUUAUAUGCUUGGAAACCUUAAGACGAUAUCUAUUACAUAGCGUACUCCAAACAGAGCCUUUGAAUACUUCAUUUUUCGAUGAUAUUCUAAUUACUUUUUCAAAGAGGUUACAAGACUCGAAUUUCAAGGACCUGAAAUGACGGGUUGUUACAUCAUCCCCCCGUUAGAGGGAAUUUCAUCCCGAAAGUAGAGUUCAUGCUACGGAUAGAAGUUUUAUUUUCUCCUCAUGUUCUUAGUUGAACUCGGUUCCUCGCUUGGCAUUCCAACGAACUUUUCACUAUCGGGAU
rnacentral:lncRNA from 1 species